AGGGAAGGGUCGGGAUAGCUCAGUUGGUAGAGCAGAGGACUG
rnacentral:tRNA from 1 species